rnacentral:rRNA from 1 species
GCAGCCGCCGCGGUAACACGGAGGGGGCUAGCGUUGUUCGGAAUUACUGGGCGUAAAGCGCACGUAGGCGGCUUGGUAAGUUAGAGGUGAAAGCCCGGAGCUCAACUCCGGAAUUGCCUUUAAGACUGCCGAGCUAGUAGGUGAGAGAGGUGAGUGGAAUUCCGAGUGUAGAGGUGAAAUUCGUAGAUAUUCGGAAGAACACCAGUGGCGAAGGCGGCUCACUGGCUCAUUCUAGACGCUGAGGUGCGAAAGCGUGGGGAGCAAACAGGAUUAGAUACCCCCGUAGUCCCUGUCUCUUAUAC